rnacentral:rRNA from 1 species
CCUACGGGAGGCAGCAGUGGGGAAUUUUGGACAAUGGGCGCAAGCCUGAUCCAGCAAUGCCGCGUGCAGGAUGAAGGCCUUCGGGUUGUAAACUGCUUUUGUACGGAGCGAAACGGUCUGCUUUAAUACAGUGGGCUAAUGACGGUACCGUAAGAAUAAGCACCGGCUAACUACGUGCCAGCAGCCGCGGUAAUACGUAGGGUGCGAGCGUUAAUCGGAAUUACUGGGCGUAAAGCGUGCGCAGGCGGUUAUAUAAGACAGAUGUGAAAUCCCCGGGCUCAACCUGGGACCUGCAUUUGUGACUGUAUAGCUAGAGUAUGGUAGAGGGGGAUGGAAUUCCGCGUGUAGCAGUGAAAUGCGUAGAUAUGCGGAGGAACACCGAUGGCGAAGGCAAUCCCCUGGACCUGUACUGACGCUCAUGCACGAAAGCGUGGGGAGCAAACAGGAUUAGAUACCCUGGUAGUCCACGCCCUAAACGAUGUCAACUGGUUNUUGGGUCUUCACUGACUCAGUAACGAAGCUAACGCGUGAAGUUGACCGCCUGGGGAGUACGGCCGCAAGGUUGAAACGUCAAAUGAAUUGACGGCUGAGACGNGCGAGGACGACGACGAGGGAGAGG